rnacentral:rRNA from 1 species
AAUGUCAUUAAUCAAGAACGAAAUCAGAGGUUCGAAGGCGAUCAGAUACCGCCCUAGUUCUGACCAUAAACGAUGCCAGCCAGCGAUCCGGCUGCGUUCCUCAAAUGACGCGCCGGGCAGCUUCCGGGAAACCAAAGCUUUUGGGUUCCGGGGGGAGUAUGGUUGCAAAGCUGAAACUUAAAGGAAUUGACGGAAGCGCACACAAGAAAUGGGGCCUGCGGCUUAAUUUGACUCAACACGGUGCAACUCACCCGGCCCGGACACAGGAAGGAUUGACAGAUUAAGAGCUCUUUCUUGAUUCUGUGACAGGUGGUGCAUGGCCGUUUCUAGUUGGUGGAGUGAUUUGUCUGCUUUAUUGCGAUAACGAGCGAGACUCUAGCCUACUAAAUAGACUGGCGAUCCUGUUACAGUGGCCAGGUCUUCUUAGAGGGACAAGCGGUGUUCAGCCGCACGAAACUGAGCAAAAACAGGUCAGGAUGCCCUUAGAUGUUCGGGGCCGCACGCGCGCCACAUUGAAGGAAUCAGCGUGUGCUUUCCCUCUCCGAUAGGAGUGGGUAACCCGUUGAAACUCCUUCGUGCUAGGGAUAGGAAAUUGUAAUUGUUUUCCUUGAACGAGGAAUUCCCAGUAAGCAUUGAGUCAUCAGCUCGUGUUGAUUACGUCCCUGCGCUUUGUGCACACCGCCCGUCGCUAUUAUCGAUGAAUUUUGGAGUGAGAUCAUCGGACUGGCUAAGGUUCUGUGCUUAUAUGGUGUGGAGCCUGUGUUGGAAAGAUGACCGAACUUGAAUAUUUAGAGAAAAUAAAGCUCGUAACAAGGCUUC